rnacentral:pre_miRNA from 1 species
UCUUGUGGAUGAGCAAAGAAAGUGGUUUCUUUAGAUGGAAUCCUUUCCUGGGGAAAAUGCUGUGAA